AUUUCAGAAACGUGUUACCAUGUGGUGAGAAAUACAGUGAGGAACGUAGUAUUACUACGAGCAUAUAAUAAUUGCAUUGAUCGUGUUGGAUGUUUGUGGAACAGAUGAAGUGCUUUCGAUCAACAAACGUCUUGGAGAGAACGUUACUCUGCACUGUAACGGAUCUGAGAGUCUGAUUAAAAUCAGAUGGGAGAAGGAUGGAAUCCAGGUGCUUUUACAUACCCCGCGCUUGGAAACACACCAUACCAAGACAAACUUCACUUCUGAAAGGAUGAGUGUUGAUCCUGCUAAUCCAGCGAUACUGCAGAUAUCUGAUGUGCAGGUGUCUGAUGAGGGAAUAUACAUAUGUGAAGUAACAGAUAAGAAAAACGUGAAGACAGAAAAAUGGAGCCUGACCACUUCUCCAGAUCAUUGGCUUUCACCAAACCGAUCCAAACUUUUCUGCAUCAGUACUGCAGCCAUAUUCUCGACAAUGAUCAUCGUGUUGUGUAUUUAUCACAAAAUCUCAAACCUGAACCAUGCUGCAGGAAAUGAAGGUGAAGAUGAAGAAAUGGCAGCUGUUUCUUUUCACAAUCAAGCAUCAAGGCAUGUUUAGUUGUAAUGUGGACCUCACAGGACCUCACAGGACCUUCAUUUCAAAGAAUGAUUACCGCCUAUUGGCUCUGGUAUCGUUGUUGUCAUUGCCUCAAUGAUUCGCAUGAAUAAAACGGCAUUAUGAAUGCAGUGCCGUCUGUUGAUAAAA